CCUACGGGAGGCAGCAGUGGGGAAUAUUGCACAAUGGGGGAAACCCUGAUGCAGCCACGCCGCGUGAGUGAAGAAGUAUUUCGGUAUGUAAAGCUCUAUCAGCAGGGAAGAAAGUGACGGUACCUGAGUAAGAAGCCCCGGCUAACUACGUGCCAGCAGCCGCGGUAAU
rnacentral:rRNA from 1 species